CUACGGGGUGCAGCAGUGAGGGAUUUUGCGCAAUGGGGGGAACCCUGACGCAGCAACGCCGCGUGAGUGAAGAAGGCCUUUGGGUCGUAAAGCUCUGUCAACAGGGAAGAAGUUAUAUAGUCUUAAUAAGGCUUUAUAUUGACGGUACCUGUGGAGGAAGCAUCGGCUAACUCCGUGCCAGCAGCCGCGGUAAUACGGGGGAUGCAAGCGUUAUUCGGAAUUAUUGGGCGUAAAGGGCGCGCAGGCGGCCUUUUCAGUCGGAUGUGAAAGCCCAGGGCUCAACCCUGGACGUGCAUUUGAAACAAAGAGGCUUGAGUACGGUAGAGGAAAGGGGAAUUCCUGGUGUAGAGGUGAAAUUCGUAGAUAUCAGGAGGAACACCGGUGGCGAAGGCGCCUUUCUGGGCCUGUACUGACGCUGAGGCGCGAAGGCGUGGGUAGCGAACAGGAUUAGAUACCCGCGUAGUC
rnacentral:rRNA from 1 species